CCUACGGGUGGCUGCAGUGAGGAAUAUUGGUCAAUGGCCGAAAGGCUGAACCAGCCAAGUCGCGUGAGGGAAGAAUGUCCUAUGGAUUGUAAACCUCUUUUGUCAGGGAGCAAAGUCACCCACGUGUGGGUGUUGGAGAGUACCUGAAGAAAAAGCAUCGGCUAACUCCGUGCCAGCAGCCGCGGUAAUACGGAGGAUGCGAGCGUUAUCCGGAUUUAUUGGGUUUAAAGGGUGCGUAGGCGGGUUAUCAAGUCAGCGGUAAAAUCCGGGAGCUCAACUCCAUCCAGCCGUUGAAACUGAUGAUCGUGAGUGGGAGAGAAGGAGGCGGAAUGAGUGGUGUAGCGGUGAAAUGCAUAGAGAUCACGCAGAACACCGAUUGCGAAGGCAGCAUACCGGCGCCUGACUGACGCUGAAGCACGAAAGCGUGGGGAUCGAACAGGAUUAGAUACCCGAGUAGUC
rnacentral:rRNA from 1 species